AAUGCACUGCUCAAGAACUCUCAUAAUGCACUGGAACUCUCAUAAUGCACUGCAUUAUAGGGAUCUUUUCGGCACUGGCCAGGAAGCUACUCAUGUUGAUUAGGCAAGAAAGCUCAUUCUCCCGCUCCUUUAAUACAAUGAGAUAAUAGCUGGUGAGACAUCCGGAGGGCACCCAGAGCUGCUGAACCAAGAGAGUAGGCUCUGAAAUGAAAUGAACCAUGAAUCAGAGUGCAAUCAUCAUUAUACCUGCCACUGUGGAUAGGUGUCUGCGCAGAAGAGAACACCAGAAUGAGAAAGGAUCGUUUACAUAUCUGAAGUUUUUAACCAGUGAUGGGUGAAGCUCAUUUAAGUUCAUUUCCAAGCACCACAAAGGCUGGACAAUAGUAUCUUUCGGCAGUUUAUAUUUAGCCUUUGAAAAAUCACAUGCAAACAUAAGAACAGAAUGUUGAGGGUCAAAUCUGCAUGACCUGUUGAAAGCUAGAAAAAACAACAUAAUUAUGGAGCAGUGUGAUUGCUGCUUCUCAUAUUAUGAUUAUGUGGCACAUGAAUGAUCUCACAUGCGACUCCUUUAUCGGAAAUCUCCUACAACAUAAUAUUGAAGAAGGUUAAGAUAUGCACAUAUCUUCAAAGUGAAUUAUGACUAAAUCUGUACUGGAACCUUGCAAUGCUUGCAUUUUCCUGAGAGGUAGACAUGUGCAUUAAUUAUUCCUGGGCUAUGUUUUAAGAAGUGGGAGUGACAUUGGGAAACUGUCCAGUGUGACUGAAAGAUGGACAGAAAAAGAGGUUGUUUUUCUGGAGAGCAGUAGACAAUGGCCCUGGCCAUUUUUCCAGAUUGGCCAGUUCAGUCUUGCCUUCCUUGGUGUUGCGAUCUGAGUAUUUUGUAGUUACUGGCAAAGCUGCCCAAACAAACAAACAACAUAGCUUUUUAUUGGAUUUGGUGAGGCUGCCUGCUGUAAAUUCAUCCAAAUUGGAUUCUGGACUACAUGGGAGUAUAUCUGGAUUGGGCCAAGAACAAUAAAGUAGAGAUUUGCACAAAA